AGCGUUGUUCGGAUUCAUUGGGCGUAAAGGGUGCGUAGGCGGCGCGGUAAGUCGGGUGUGAAAUCUCGGAGCUUAACUCCGAAACUGCAUUCGAUACUGCCGUGCUUGAGGACUGGAGAGGAGAGUGGAAUUUACGGUGUAGCGGUGAAAUGCGUAGAUAUCGUAAGGAAGACCAGUGGCGAAGGCGGGUCUCUGGACAGUUCCUGACGCUGAGGCACGAAGGUCAGGGGAGCAAACGGG
rnacentral:rRNA from 1 species